AAAAGGUUGUCUCUAAUCAUUGUAUACAGAAUUCUGGACAAUGAACCUUGCAUAAUUAACAGAUUGGAACACACAGAAAGUAAGGCUUCAAAGAAUAGUAUUAAAACAUUAGGUUUUAUGAAGUGGAGUCAUUCUAUUGUUCAAGACCCUGUCAUUGAAUAAUGUUGGACAUGGCUCAGAAUUUUAUGAUGUAGAAGAAUUCAAAUGCCAAAUGUGCAUUUGAUCUUUUAAGAGGGUGAAUAGUAAGUUGUUAUUGUGAUUGCGCUGGCCCUUUAAGAAAUGAGUGUUUGGUAAGUUUAUGUGUAACACUUGCCAUGAUUUUGGUUAUGAAUAGGUCGCAAAGAUGUUCCUCGUGCUGGCAGAUGGAAGGGCAGCAAGAUAGGUGGCUGGGAGGAAAGCCGGAGGCGGAGUUGUGCUAGAAAGAACAUAGCAAAUUCAACAGAUGGAGGAUGAUAGAUCAGUUGGCAAAAAGAGGUGCUACAGGAGAACAGGGGAAGCUAGUGAAGACAUGGAUGGAUAGACAGCCAGGAGUGGGCUAAAUGAACCAGUAAUAAAAGAAAUAGAGCAGUACAGGGGCCCCAAAGUUCAAGAACAAAUAGAUAAAUAUCAAAGACGACAACUACAAAAUUCCUCUGUAUCUGAGCUUGGGAAAAUAUCUUCCUUUAAAAUGUCUUUUAUUAUAAUCUUUCAAAAAUGCUUUAAAUGAACAAAGAUCUCAUAUACGGAAAAUCUUUAUUGUAAAACUUAGAGAUUCAUACUAUGGAGGAAAUUUAUUCUGUAAAAAAAUGAUCAUGGAUGUAAAGUUAAUCUUAUUCCUUAGUUUUGUGUUUUCUGCAAAUUUGGAUUUUUGACAGCUUUUAUUAUGUAAAUAUGUCAGGACCUGGCUGGAAAAUAAUGCUGAGGUAUAUGGUCCACAGGGAUGAGAAGUUUGAUUUCUUUCAAAAGAGUAGUAUAAAAGAAUGGAAAAUGGAAAUACAGCAUUAUCCUUACAAAAUGUCCUGUUUUCUCUGCUUACCAGGAGUGACAAUAGCUAUGUGCUCAUUAACCUUAAGUAAGUAAAUAUGUUGUUUGUCCUGUUUUUGCCUUCAGCCUCAACUUCCCAUAUAACCACCAUUUUUCUUAGGAAAUAGUCUUACAUGAAAACCCUUAGACAGUUAAGUAACAUAACCAAGUUCCCUUUGAUUAAUAACUGUUACUAUAGAUUAAUAUAUAAAUGACAGGCUCACUAAUAUAUGCAGAAAGAGGGUUGGCUUAAUAUACCCAUUAUAACUGACCUUUAAAUACCUGCAUGGGUUGCAAAGCUACUCCCAUUGCCCCCAUAUACAUGAAUGUAGCACGAGCACUUUUGAUAUAUAAAAACUGGAGCCAAUCUCUGAAGCAAAGGAACACUUUAUGGAAAACUCCACAGGCACUAUGGCAGACAUGAUGGUAGGCACUAUGGCAGACAUGAUGGUAGGCACUAUGGCAGACAUGAUGGUAGGCACUAUGGCAGGCAUUAUUGAAGACAGACACUAUGGUAGGUCCCCAGGGUAAAUAAAGGCAGAGAAACAAUCAGUUCACUCAGAGUCCUGGGAGAGAGUCAUUGUUCUUCAGUGUCUCAGGUACAAUUAUGAAAUGCAAUGGUCUUGUCUAUCUUUGUGAGUCCUUUACUUACGUGUGCCUGUGUGCUUGUGUGUGUGGAUAUGUGCGGGUGCAUCCAUGUGCAUGUGUGUCCCUAUGCAUGUGUGUGUGCAUGUGUGUCUGUGUGUGUGUGUGUGUCCGUGUGUGUGCCUGUGAGCACACAUAGGUGUGUGAAUGCAGGCACCCAUGUGCAAAUAGAAGUUAGAAGUUAAUUCUUAGGAGUAGAAUGUUCCUUUUACCAUGAGUUCCAGGGGCUGAACUUGGCUUGUCUUGCACAAAAAACACUUUUAGUCUCUGAGCCAUCUUGUUGACUAAAAGAUGUGGGACAGAAGGGCCCCAAACUCCUAUUUUCUGCUUCUAUGCCCUAUCAACACGUGCCACCAUGAAUCUUUUUUAGAUUAAGGACCUCACUAGAUUCCUCACUCAGAAAGUACUUAUUAGGAACUUCCUUGUUCAGUUGCUCUGUAGACAGAAGUAUUUCACUGUUUUCAUUGACAAAAUGGGUCAACUGAAAUGGGAAAAAAAGCAAAGAAAAUUUACUAGACAACUGCAGCUCUCAGAAAGACAUAGAGUCUCCAGCAUAGUGACUAUACAAUUGCUGUGACUACCAUUAGUAAUCAGCCAAGAAAGCUUUUUUCAAUAUGAAGAUUAAAAGGUGGGUAAGAGAGAUUAUUCAUUAUAGUUCAUGAAUUAACAAUUCACACUUCAGAGCCAUGUAUUCAAUGAACACAACUUGCAAGUAGCAAUGGCAUGUUCUGGGCUCAGCACUAAGAUACUACAGGUUCUCUCCUAGAUCCAUGUAACUCUUCUAAAUUCCUUUGACAGUUUUGAGACACCUUCAACUGACCAUGUAUGAAUCUACCCAUGAUAUUCUGCAUCCUUUUAACUCAAAGGUUUACCUUUCUUUCAUUAAACCAACUGUCCCCCCCCCCC
rnacentral:lncRNA from 1 species